CCCUGGCAUAGUCUAUUUGACGUACGUGCAUAAGUGGCGUGAUGAUGGAUUAGCGUUUUGUGUAAGUAGUCUGAAUCGAUCUGAAUAGUGUUUGGAAAAAUACUACAAGGCCUGGGAAGAGAAUUGCAAAAUACGUGGAAUUUCUCUGAGUUUUAUAUUAGUUUUUUAGAAGAAAACAUCAUUAAACGACCUGGGAAAUUAUUCAAAGUUAGAAUUUUGAUACAUUUAUCAGAACUCAAAAUCCAUAUCAGUAGGAUUUCUGUAACCUACUUCUUUCACAGCCCAGGGAGAAUCAUGUGUGAGGAACGAGUUCAAAGGUUGCAAAGAAUUCUACAUUCUCUUGCAACAAGAGUGCCAAGAGUUUUGCUACAGAGAAUUGAAGAAAUAUUUCCUUCACUGAGAGAAACCAUGAACCUUGCAUAUUCAGAGGAAGUACAAAGUCUGUAGUGAGAUACAUUCAGCAUCUUCUCAUGAUGCAUGUCAGGCCAACAGUGUAAAAGCUGAGGAAGUGUCAGACGCAGAAAAAAGAGGAGUAUCCUGUGCCAAUAACAUUUCAAAGAAUAAAGGCUGAACGUGAGGUGAGCUGUGGCUGUGAUGGCAUGUGGAUCUGUUGCAAGGCUACAACUGCAAAAUAAGGAACUAUACAGCAGCCAUUGCUAAGUAACAGCUCUGCAAACAAGCAUGUUUCCUCAGGAGGAGUUGCAAUGCAACAGAGAAACAGUGUUUAAUUCUUGUUAAAUUUAAAUUUGCAUAGUGUAGGGUGGAGUCCAACUGGGUCCACUUGGCACAGCGGCCACUGAUUGGCCUA